rnacentral:rRNA from 1 species
AGUGAACGCUGGCGGUAGGCCUAACACAUGCAAGUCGAACGGCAGCACAGUAAGAGCUUGCUCUUACGGGUGGCGAGUGGCGGACGGGUGAGGAAUACAUCGGAAUCUACUUUUUCGUGGGGAUAACGUAGGGAAACUUACGCUAAUACCGCAUACGACCUACGGGUGAAAGCAGGGGAUCUUCGGACCUUGCGCGAUUGAAUGAGCCGAUGUCGGAUUAGCUAGUUGGCGGGGUAAAGGCCCACCAAGGCGACGAUCCGUAGCUGGUCUGAGAGGAUGAUCAGCCACACUGGAACUGAGACACGGUCAAGACUCCUACGGGAGGCAGCAGUGGGGAAUAUUGGACAAUGGGCGCAAGCCUGAUCCAGCCAUACCGCGUGGGUGAAGAAGGCCUUCGGGUUGUAAAGCCCUUUUGUUGGGAAAGAAAAGCAGCAGGUUAAUACCCCGCUGUUCUGACGGUACCCAAAGAAUAAGCACCGGCUAACUUCGUG